UGGCCACCAGCAUGUCCACUUUGGCUGUCUUCAUUCUCGAUGUCAAGGGCAAGCCCCUGAUCAGCCGCAACUACAAGGGCGAUGUGCCCAUGAGCAAGAUCGAGCACUUCAUGCCUCUGCUGGUGCAGCGGGAGGAGGAGGGUGCCCUGACCCCACUGCUAAGUGGGUGAAGCCCACUUCCUAUGGAUCAAACACAACAACCUCUACCUGGUGGCCACUACUUUGAAGAACACCAAUGCCUGCCUGGUGUACUCUUUCCUGUAUAAGACAAUAGAGGUAUUCUGUGACUACUUCAAGGAGCUGGAGGAGGAGAGCAUCCGGGGCAACUUUGUCAUUGUCUAUGAGUUGCUGGACGAGCUCAUGGGCUUUGGCAUCCUGCAGACCACUGAGAGCAAGAUCCUGUAGGAGUACAUCACUCAGCAGAGCAACAAGCUGGAGACAGGCAAGUCACCGGUGCUACCCACUGUCACCAGUGCUGUGUCCUGGUGCUCUGAGGGUAUCAAGUAUAAGAAGAACGAGGUCUUCAUCGAUGUCAUAGAGUCUGUCAACCUGCUGAGCGAGAUCGUUGGUACCAUCAAGCUCAAGGUGUUUCUGUUGGGAAUGCCUGAGCUGCGGCUGGGCUUCAAUGACCGCGUGCUCUUUGAGCUCACUGGCCUUUCAGGCAGCAAGAACAAAUCAGUAGAGCUAGAGGAUGUGAAAUUCCACCAGUGUGUGCGGCUGUCACGCUUUGACAAUGACCACACCAUCUCCUUCAUCCCGCCUGAUGGUGACUUUGAGCUCAGGUCCUACCGCCUCAGCACCAGGUGAAGCCACUGAUCUGGAUUGAGUCUGUCAUUGAGAAGUUCUCCCAUAGCCAUGUGGAGAUCAUGGUCAAGGCCAAGGGGCAGUUUAAGAAACAGUCAGUGGCCAACAAUGUGGAGAUACCUGUGCCUGUGCCCAGUGAUGCUGACUCCCCCAGAUUCAAGACCAGUGUGGGCAGUGCCAAGUAUGUGCCAGAGAAAAACGUCGUGAUUUGGAGUAUUAAGUCUUUCCGGGAGGCAGGGAGUACUUGAUGUGAGCCCGUUUUGGCCUCCCCAGCGUGGAGAAGGAGGAGGUGAAGGGCCGGCCCCCCACUGGAGUCAAGUUUAAGAUCCCUUACUUCACUGUCCCCGGGAUCCAGGUCCGACACAUGAAGAUCAUUGAGAAAAGCGGUUACCAGGCCCUGCCCUGGGUUUGCUACAUCACCCAGAGUGGGGAUUAUCAACUUCAUACCAGCUAGAAGGGAGAGGAGAUGGGGGCUUGAAGAGGAGGCUUCCCUACAGCCCCGGCUGCAGAUUUUA